rnacentral:lncRNA from 1 species
CGCCCGCAGGGGGAGCCCGAGAGCCCGGAGCGGGACCGGGAACGGGACAAGGACAAGGACAGGGACCGGGAUUGGGAUGGGGAUGGGGAUUGGGACAAGGAUCGGGACAGGGAUGGGGAUGGGGAUGGGAACCGGGACAGGGAUCGGGACAAGGACAGGGACAGGGAUGGAAACCGGGACAGGGACUGGGACAAGGACAGGGACAGGGAUCGAGUCGGGAACCAGGACAGGGACUGGGACAAGGACAGGGACAGGGAUCGGGAUGGGGACCAGGACAGGAAUUGGGACAACGACAGGGACAGGGAUUGGGAAAGUGAUCGGGACAAGGACAGGACUGGGAUCAGGAUGGGACUGGGACAAAGACAGGGACAGUGAUCAGGACAAGGACAGGGACAGGGAUUGGGAUGGGUCGGGACAAGGCCUGGGAUAAGGACAGGGAUCAGGAUGGGAAUCGGGACAGGGAUAGGGGCUGGAAGGAUGGAGAUGGUGAUGGGGAUGCAAACCAGGAUGAGGACAGAGAGCAGGAGAGGUACAGUGACAGGGAGCAGGGACCAAGACUGAGACAGGGACAAGGACCAUGUCCAAGCUGGACACUUGGACAGAGCAGGGACAAAGAAGGUGGUGGGGACAGAGACCAGGAUGGACACCAGGAAGAGGGCAGGGACCAGGAGAGGGACAGGGACGGGGAAUUGGGACCAGGAUGGAGAUCUAAACACGGACAAGGGCUGAGACUGGGAUGGGAACCAGCAGUGGGACAGGGAUGGGGCAGGGACAAGGACGAGACCAGGAUGGGAACAGAAGCAGGAACCAGGUGGAAAACAGGAACAAGGAGAGGCACUGGAAGAACAACAGGAAGUGGGAACAGCACGGGGACAAAGGCCAGGACCAGGACUGGGAUGGGAACAGGGAGAGGGACCAGGAGGAGGAUAGGAAUCAGGAGAGAAACAGGGGCAGGGACUGGGAAUGGGAGCAAGACAGCAACAAGCACUGGGACCAGAAUUGGAACAGGCAGCAACAGCAGGACAGGGACAGGGAUGGACUCAGGGACCAGAAAACCAACUGUCACCAGGAGAGUGACAGGGACAGGAACAGGCAUGGGGACACAGAUAUCCUCAUCCUCAUGUGUGGGUACAGGGACACAUGGGGACACAGGGACACGUGUGCUCUGGGGGAACAGGAACAUGGGCACCCACAGCCAUGGCACAUGCAGGGACAUGGGCACACCCCCACUCCAAGGUGACAUGGGCACCCCUGGGGGACAUGGACACACACCAACACCCGAGUGCCCAAAACACAACUGCCCCCUGCACCAGAC